UACAAUGGUAGGUAUAAUGGGCAAAACCGCGAGGUUGAGGAAAUCCCCAAAACCUGCCUCAGUUCGGAUUGCAGUCUGCAACUCGACUGCAUGAAGCUGGAAUCGCUAGUAAUCGCAGAUCAGCAUGCUGCGGUCGAAUACGUUCCCGGGCCUU
rnacentral:rRNA from 1 species